rnacentral:lncRNA from 1 species
CCUACUGAUAGCCUGGAGGACACCCUCCUGUGGAGGCCUGUGUUACCAGGGAGAUGGGUAAACAAGAGGGAACCUGUUCUGCCUCCUCUGACCAAGAGAAAGAAGGGGGCUGGUCUGAGGCCUCUGCUGAGAUCUCAGUGGGUGGGGUUGGCCCAGUGAGCCUUUGAAAGAGGAGGGGUCACCCAGAAGCGAGUGCUUAAGUCUCUGACCAUCAGCGUGCACAGCCCCAGCUGCCAGUCUGGGGAGAGGAACCAAGCCUACAGGUACAGAUUUGUCAUGGAUGCUUCCAGCCCUGGAAACAAGCGCAAGGAAUUUCCCCUCCUGGUGUUUAUGGUUUAGGUCCUCUCCAUUUGCUUACAUCAUUGUUCCGUCUUUGUUAGAAGCUAUUUUAUUGACUCGUGAACAGAUGAUGUAUGAAUUCAGCACAGAACUUGGAAGACAGAAGAAGAUAUAACACGUACCUCCCUCUCCCACCCCAGGCUCUCUGGCCUUUCCCCGAAGCUCCUGAUGAGUCAGUAUGGUUUUAUGUACCAAACACACAUGUAAAUAUACCCUUUUAUAGCGGGAUAGAUACCGUAUAAACAGUAUUUUCUCCUAGUGGUUAGUGUGUCCUCUGUGCGAA